UACGUAGGGGGCAAGCGUUGUCCGGAUUUAUUGGGCGUAAAGAGCGUGUAGGCGGUUUGGUAGGUCCGCUGUGAAAACUCGAGGCUCAACCUCGAGACGCCGGUGGAAACCAUCAGACUAGAGUCCGGAAGAGGAGAGUGGAAUUCCUGGUGUAGCGGUGAAAUGCGCAGAUAUCAGGAAGAACACCCGUGGCGAAGGCGGCUCUCUGGGCCAUUACUGACGCUGAGGAGCGAAAGCGUGGGGAGCGAACAGG
rnacentral:rRNA from 1 species